GUACCUCCUUGAUGCUUCCCGGCGUCGUGCACAGCAUGUAGACGACGUAGCCAGGGAUGAGCACCAUGGAGGACAAGGCCAUGGUCCAGCCGAUGGUUUGGCCCCACACAGGGUACACGUACUGGCCCAGAGUCAGGGGCGUCAUCUCCACAGCACUGAAGUCAUGCAAUGACGAGAGGAGGAACAGCCUACCUACAAGAUGUCCACCUCAUCAACUUCCCUGCCACAACUUGAUCCAAAAGGGCCAAAAGUAUUGGGAUGCAUCAAUAUUGAGCUGACACCUCCUUUGCAGCUAUAAUCAGU